rnacentral:rRNA from 1 species
GUGUCAGCAGCCGCGGUAAUACGGAGGAUGCAAGCGUUAUCCGGAAUGAUUGGGCGUAAAGCGUCCGCAGGUGGCUGUGUAAGUCUGCUGUUAAAGCGUCUGGCUUAACCAGAUACAAGCAGUGGAAACUACACAGCUAGAGUGCGUUCGGGGCAGAGGGAAUUCCUGGUGUAGCGGUGAAAUGCGUAGAUAUCAGGAAGAACACCGGUGGCGAAAGCGCUCUGCUAGGCCGCAACUGACACUGAGGGACGAAAGCUAGGGGAGCGAAUGGGAUUAGAUACCCCAGUAGUCCUAGCCGUAAACGAUGGAUACUAGGCGUUGCUUGUAUCGACCCAAGCAGUGCCGUAGCUAACGCGUUAAGUAUCCCGCCUGGGGAGUACGCACGCAAGUGUGAAACUUAAAGGAAUUGACGGGG